ensembl:snRNA U6 U6 spliceosomal RNA
GUGCUCGCUUCAGCAGCACAUAUACUAAAAUUGGAAUGAUACGCAGUGGAUUAGCAUGGCCCCUGCACAAGGAUGGCACGCAAAUUCGUGAAGCGCUCCAUGUUUUU